UACGUAGGUGGCAAGCGUUGUCCGGAAUUAUUGGGCGUAAAGCGCGCGCAGGCGGUCCUUUAAGUCUGAUGUGAAAGCCCACGGCUCAACCGUGGAGGGUCAUUGGAAACUGGGGGACUUGAGUACAGAAGAGAAGAGUGGAAUUCCACGUGUAGCGGUGGAAUGCGUAGAGAUGUGGAGGAACACCAGUGGCGAAGGCGACUCUUUGGUCUGUAACUGACGCUGAGGCGCGAAAGCGUGGGGGGCGAACAGG
rnacentral:rRNA from 1 species